UGAAGCGAGGAUGCCUUCCACA
rnacentral:siRNA from 1 species